GAAAGGUUUGGUCCUAGCCUUUGCAUUAGCUGUCAGUACACUUACACAUGCAAAUAUCCGUACCCCAGUGAAUUUUGCCCUAAAAUUCCGUAAACUUGGAAGUAAAGGAGCAGGUAUAAAGUACACUAAAACAAAACUAGUAGCUAAAAACACCAAGUCUAACCACGCCCCCACGGGAUACAGCAGUGAUAAAAAUUAAGCAAUAAACGAAAGUUUGACUAAAUGACACUGAUAGAGAGUUGGUAAAUUUCGUGCCAGCCACCGCGGUCAUACGAUUAACCCUAGUUAAUGCAAAACGGCGUAAAGAGUGCUAAAAACAAAACACAAAGUAGAACUAAAGCCUAAUUAAGCUGUAAAAAGCACUAAUUAAAGCGAAAAUACACAACGAAGGUAAUUCUAUAAAAAUGCAGCACUAAAGCUAUAGAACAAACUGGGAUUAGAUACCCCACUAUGUAUAGCCAUAAACAUAAAUAAAUAAUUAACAAAUUUAUUCGCCUGAGGACUACAAGCAACCGCUAGAAACUCAAAGGACUUGGCGGUGCUUUAUAUCCACCUAGAGGAGCCUGUUCCAAAAUCGAUAAACCCCGAUAUACCUUACCACUUCUUGCUAAUUCAGCCUAUAUACCGCCAUCUUCAGCUAACCCUAAAAAGGAGCACUAGUAAGCAAAAACAUUAUAGACUAAUAAAAAAGUUAGGUCAAGGUGUAGCCAAUGAAGUGGAGUGCAAUGGGCUACAUUUUCUGACACCAGAACAUUACGAAUUUCUCUCUGAAACAUAGAGAACGAAGGAGGAUUUAGUAGUAAGUUAAAAAUAGAGUGUUUAACUGAAUAGAGCAAUGAAGCACGCACACACCGCCCGUCACCCUCCUCAAUAUCCCAUAACAACACAAAUAUAAUUAAUAGUAAACCAACAUGAGACUAGAGGAGACAAGUCGUAACAAGGUAAGUGUACUGGAAAGUGCACUUGGAUUAAC
rnacentral:ncRNA from 1 species